UAUUGUAUUCAUGGAACUAUA
rnacentral:piRNA from 1 species